rnacentral:rRNA from 1 species
UAACGGAGGGUGGCAAGCGUUAUCCGGAUUCACUGGGUUAAAGGGUGCGUAGGUGGAUUGGUAAGUCAGUGGUGAAAUCUCCGGGCUUAACCCGGAAACUGCCAUUGAUACUAUCAGUCUUGAAUACCGUGGAGGUCAGUAGAAUGAGUGUCAUGUAGCGGUGAAAUGCUUAGAUAUGACAUAGAAUACCAUUGCGAAGGCAGCUGGCUACACGAAUAUUGACACUCAGGCACGAAAGCGUGGGGAUCAAACAGG